GAUGGAUGGCGGGCGGAUCAAGCGUUUUGUGAUGCGGUUGCGGAUGAAAUAAUAGCCCAUCCGCGCAUCUCUAGAGCUUACCUCUCCCGAAAUAAGUGUUUUUUGUGAAUGACAGGGUCGUUAAGACUGACAAAAAGAUCUCUCACUUACACAGCACUACAAGGCUACUCUCUGCGAUACUUUAACUGGAGCUGGACACUAAAAAAAUGGGCAAAAACGUUUUUAUUCCAAUUCUGAGUCUAAGUCCACAAGGAUAUACUCAAAAAACAGUUACAAUGUUUUUAUUCUGCUUCUGAGCCAAGUCCAAAUGGGCUUAGUAAAAAAAACGGCCAAAAACGUUUUUAUUUCCAUUCUGUGCCUAAAUGUGGAUGGACUUAGUCUCAAAAACGGUGAAAAUGUUUUUAUUCUUCUUCUAGGCCCUUGUUUCCAUCCUCCAGAGUGGGCAGGAUGUCCUCAGAAGGUGUCCGAAAAUAGUGCAUGGUCGUCGGACUGACCGUCGGGGAUCGGGAGGCCGUAAUUCUUCCAGAGAUUCAUCUUCACUCACUGUCUCAUCUUAAGAAAUGGCUGGGGAAAAGAAAUCUGCAGCUGCACAUAGACACUAUCUACUCUGUCCAGUUUGUUUGAGGACCCAAGAGUCUCUAUCCUGUCACCUGCGCAGAGUCUGCAUGAAGGAUAAGACACCACCACAGAUCCUA